rnacentral:rRNA from 1 species
AUGAACGCUAGCGGCAGGCUUAACACAUGCAAGUCGAGGGGCAGCAUAAUGGAUAGCAAUAUCUAUGGUGGCGACCGGCGCACGGGUGCGUAACGCGUAUGCAACCUACCUUUAACAGGGGGGAUAACACUGAGAAAUUGGUACUAAUACCCCAUAAUAUCAUAGAAGGCAUCUUUUAUGGUUGAAAAUUCCGAUGGUUAGAGAUGGGCAUGCGUUGUAUUAGCUAGUUGGUGGGGUAACGGCUCACCAAGGCGACGAUACAUAGGGGGACUGAGAGGUUGACCCCCCACACUGGUACUGAGACACGGACCAGACUCCUACGGGAGGCAGCAGUAAGGAAUAUUGGUCAAUGGACGCAAAUCUGAACCAGCCAUGCCGCGUGCAGGAUGACGGCUCUAUGAGUUGUAAACUGCUUUUGUACUAGGGUAAACUCACCUACGUGUAGGUGACUGAAAGUAUAGUACGAAUAAGGAUCGGCUAACUCCGUG